rnacentral:rRNA from 1 species
UACGUAGGGGGCAAGCGUUGUCCGGAAUCAUUGGGCGUAAAGAGCGUGUAGGCGGCCCGAUAAGUCCGUCGUGAAAGUCCAGGGCUCAACCCUGGGAUGCCGGUGGAAACUGUCGGGCUAGAGUCCGGAAGAGGCGAGUGGAAUUCCCGGUGUAGCGGUGAAAUGCGCAGAUAUCGGGAGGAACACCAAUGGCGAAGGCAGCUCGCUGGGACGGUACUGACGCUGAGGCGCGAAAGCGUGGGGAGCAAACAGG